rnacentral:rRNA from 1 species
UAGGGAAUCUUCCGCAAUGGACGAAAGUCUGACGGAGCAACGCCGCGUGAGUGAAGAAGGAUUUCGGUUCGUAAAACUCUGUUGUUAGGGAAGAAAAAAUGUAUAGUAACUAUAUACAAAAGAGACGGUACCUAACCAGAAAGCCACGGCUAACUACGUGCCAGCAGCCGCGGUAAUACGUAGGUGGCAAGCGUUGUCCGGAAUUAUUGGGCGUAAAGCGCGCGCAGGUGGUUUAGAAAGUCUGAUGUGAAAGCCCACGGCUCAACCGUGGAAGGUCAUUGGAAACUAAUAAACUUGAGUGCAGGAGAGAAAGGUGGAAUUCCUAGUGUAGCGGUGAAAUGCGUAGAGAUUAGGAGGAACACCGGUGGCGAAAGCGGCUUUUUGGCCUGCAACUGACACUGAGGCGCGAAAGCGUGGGGAGCAAACAGG